rnacentral:tRNA from 1 species
AAAGGGAGACCUAAUUCAGGUAGGAGACGAAAAAAAGUAGUCCCUACCAAGAAUCAAUCCCAAAAGGUCGGAGCGAGGCAAAAUUGGCUUUCAAACUAGGUUCUGGGUUCACAUAAGACCUGAAUCAGGAACAAGGGCUAUUAGCUCAGGUGGUUAGAGCGCACCCCUGAUAAGGGUGAGGUCCCUGGUUCGAGUCCAGGAUGGCCCACCUGCACAGGUGGCAAAAACAAGAGAAGCGAGGAAUCAGCACCUUAUCCUAAUUUAUAUAUAGGAGAGAAUGCUGGCUCUGAGUAAAGAGUCCAGAGGAACCUUGAAAACUGCAUAGAGCUAGGUGAAAAAGCCAAAAAAGAAGACCGCAAG